AUCCAGCGCGAGGUUUUCAUUAAUUUUUAAGUGCAGCCCGUAAAACAGAACGAGCCGCUCAAAGGUAGGGCCGCGUUACCGAGCGCCGCCUCACCGCGCGAUUUACGAACGGAGGUUGGGAAAGAAGGUGGCCCAUGACACUUGAACACUCUCUUUCUGGGGCCUCACCCUCACUUGCAGCAAUGCUGGUAGAAGGGAUCUGGGUCAGAAAGAUCCAUGGUGACCCCACCCCUCUGCUGGGAUUUUGGUCUGCCAGGAAAUAAAGGGUCCAGAAAGAAGAAGUGUGGCCCUGUGAGGGCAUGGCACAGCUCCUGGCAUUGGGAGUGCUGCUGUGUGGGUGAGAAGAUGUGCUCCUGGUGUGUGGGGUUGGGACAGAUGGAGGUUCCUUUCUGCAGGUGUCUUCCUUACUUACUGCUUGAGGGUUGCCAACGGAGGCUGUAGAGAAAGAAGAUGGACGUUGUGUCUUUUAUGUACUUCUGCUGUACUUAUGUACAUUCUGCUGUUACUUGAGUUAGGCUUUUUUCCUCUUUUCCUGUUCUCAUGGAAAAAAAAAAAAAAAAAAAAAAGACUGAACUUAUCAUUUUAACAGAAAAUUUCCCAUCUUUCCCCUCCAAAUUGAGUCUGACUACAAACUCACCCUGGGAAGCACUGGACCUAAGAGGAUGUGCCCUUUUCCCCAGGAUAGAAGAAUGCUGGUGGAGCAACUGAUUGGAAGAUUAAGCUGCUGCCAAAUUAGUCCUGCCAGUAACUGAUUUAUUCUCCAAUGGAUAACUUAUUCCAGCUCCUGAAAUCUGCUGCAUGGAUCCAAGGGGUGGUUUGGCUCAGAAGAGGCAGUGUGAUCAGCCUCUGAGCUCCAUAUAAAAAGUACGAAUCUGAUGCUGGGGUGAAGACGUCAUUGCCUUUGGAAGUCGAAGCCACUGUAGUGCUUCAGCCCAUCCAUCUCUCCGGGACAUCUGCAUAUCCAGAUUAUUUGUAUCUCUGGACCGUGUCCCAAUCACUGUCUUUCUUUUCAACUUCUCUCCAGUUUUAUCCCAAAGUUAUUUCUUCUCAGAAAUUGGACCUAGCCCAGUGAAGUGGUGCGUUCUUAGCCAAAAGUUAGGAACAGCAGUCUCAUCUCCAGUGUCUUAAUUACUAAAUGGGAAAUUAUAGGAAAAAAAUAAUAUAGGUACAGACAUCUGUUUACACACAUACAUCCUUUACUCGUCUAUCUUUACGUAAACCCACUAGAAAGAGCAGUCCAGAUUUCUUGGCUAUAUGUUAAUGGAACCAGUGCUAUAUACAAGGGUUUUUCUUGCCUGCUGUUUUCCUCACCUGAAGCUUGCUCCAGGUCCAGCAACAAUUUUUCCAUCAGUGAAGCUGAACUGAGUUUUUGGCAUCCCAUUUGCCACCGUGUGAUGACAGAGUGACAAGGACAGAAGUGAAAUCUCUGCCAACCCAUGUUGAAAAUGGGAGAUAGACCUGAACUAGGUCUGGUUUAACAACAUUUAUGUUGAUGUUAUGUAGAAUGGAUGCACUGGUGAUGUCUGUUAUGGGUGGAAAGAAUGUCGAACUAUGUGUUGAGCUAUAAGAAAGGAGGGGACAGACUCUUUAGCAGGGUUUGUUGUGACAGAAGGGGAAACAGUUCCAAACCAAAAGAGGGGAGAUAUACACUGGAUACAAGGAAGAAGUUUUUACAGUAAAGGUAGCAAAGCACUGGAGCAGGUUGCCCGGAGAAGUGGUGGAUGUCCCGUCCCUGGAGGCAACCAAGGUCAGGCUGGAUGGGACUCUGAGCAAUCUGAUCUCACUGUAGGUGUCCCUGUUCACUGAAGGGCAGUUGGACUAAAUGGCCUUUAAGGAUUCCUUCCAACUCAAACAAGUCUGUGAUUCUAUGUGGCAGGGUAAAUAGUACUCCGUAGUAGAAAUGCUAAAUCAUGGCUCGAACUGGUGAUUGAGCACCUGGUAGGAAGGCAGGGCCAACUCAGGGAAGCUCAGGUGCAAGUAAUGCAGCUGAGUGACCAAAAGCGGUGGAGCCAGGAUCCACCCCUUCCCAGCCCUCAUUUAAGGGUUGGCAGUGGAGGUGAGGGAAUCUCUCUGGAGUUCUGUGUGUACUGGAGUCCUUCUGAAAUUAGGUAGGGUUUUUUUUUUCCUGUUGUUUAUGUGUUCACAGCUACUGCACUGGGGCUUGUUCUCAUUAACUGUAGUCUAGGACUGUGCCACUCUGCCCUUACUGUUGUACUUUCCAUCAUAUUGCAAUGUUACUUCACCUGUUUCUUUAUAUGAGUAUGUCUGUAGUUUAGAGAGCUGCAGGGAUGUGAGAGAAAGCUGAUGGAGUUUGCCUUAUCUGUGUGUUCUGUUGCUUUUGGGGAAUUCUAAUGUAUGCCGUGAUGGGUGCAGGAAAAUUCCCAAUUUUGAAGGAUUUCUGCCAACUUGACCUUUAUUAUCUGCCCUGGUGGAUCACUAAGCAUUCUAAAUUGCUGAGGAGUUAUCUGCUGCCCUGGUUACAUCUGGGGGAGAAGGAAGGAGAGCUUGAAAGGCUGAGCCAAGAGUGGCUGUUGAGGGUACGGAAAGGUGUAAGAGAUGAAGAGAUUCUCUGCUAAUCCUAAAAACUCAACUCUAUGUCCAGAGAAAUCUUGCUGAGCAGGUUAAUAGGAUUAUUUCUCAUCCUGGCAGCCUAGAUUUUCCAUUCACUUCCAAUGCCAUAAUCAUGGAGUGAUACCACUAAGUUAAUGAAAUUAUGCUAGUGUAAGACUGAUACACAGAGCUUAUUGAAGCUGAUGGAACUUUUACCAUUUACACGAGUAAAAGUAGGAAAAAGGCUUAAAGCUUUUCCCUAUUUUGCACAUUAUUUAUAUAGCAGCGUUAAUCAGUAGUAAUAUCUCACUGCUCUUGGAACAAUGCAGGAGCAUUGAAAAAAGUGGAAGUGGAGCAGUUAUUUUUGGUCUCGUGCCAUUGGGUGCAGUCCAUUUCUGCGGCCGUGAGUUGGUUCCCCACGAAACCACAAUGAGAGGGUGUUCGACUGGCUUUGCUGUCAGGAGCUGGGGUGGAGUUUGAAGUAGCUGACAAGUGCAUUAGAGAAAAUAAAUAGAUGUGGAAUGCUUGGGAAGUUAGCUCAGUUGGAGCUGGAAAGUCGUUUGGACUGCUGUGAGAAGGAAUAUUUGAGAAAGUGAUUUGGUAGGAAAGUGCUUGGGCUUGCUAGCGGUCCCUGAUGCUGAGCGCAUUUUUCUAUAUAUUUGUGUAAUUACACUAUUUCCAGCUACUGUGGGACAAGUGACAAACAACACCUGGCCACAAAGCCUUUUCAGAGUGAUGGAAAAAUCACUAUAGCAGCAAAUAAAAAGCUUGUAGUCAAAAAAUAAAACAGCGUGCAGCAAUGGAGGGAAACAGAGCCCACUACAUUGAACAGAUUUCCCCCCCCCCCUAUUUUAAAUACAGUAGUGUGAACCAGAGCAACAGUUUUCUCAAGAAGCUCCAGUAGACAUUUCCUGGCCCAAGAAAGUUAGCAGCACUUUUGUCUCAGAUCUUGGCUGAACCUGCAUGGAUCAUAGAAUCACAGAAUGGUUUGGGUUGGAAGAGAUCUUUAAGAACAUCUAGUUCCAACCCCCUGCUAUAGGUAGGGACACCUCCCUCUUAGACCAUGUUGCUCAAAGCCUCAUGAAGCUUUGUGUGUCCAAAGUUCCUCAGAUGAAAAAACUGCAGUAGAAAAGCUUGUGUUUCAAUGCAUGAUCCAAUAUUUUUGAUGAAAUGUGUUUAGUUUUUGAAAGCUAAAAACAGAUCUGUUUGUUUCUAUUUUUAGUUCUUCACUUCCUCCCAUUUCUCUUGAUUUUUUUUUUUUUCCUAGGGGAUAAAUGGGGAAUGAUAGCAGAGCAGUGAGAAUCAUUUCCAGUUUGUCUUAUUUCUGAACAUCUUGUGCAUGGACUUUAUUUAUAGGUUUACCCAGAUAACUCUCAAAUCAAACUAAAGACUGCACACUUGCCCCGUAUAUAUAUAUAAAAUUCUACACCCAACAUGUAUGAAGGAAUAUGGGUGGAUGUUUACUACCCAAGCCAUAUGACUUCUUGGUUUACAUGGAAUCAUUUAAAAGAUCUGUUCAAUCGCUGAGGUGUAUACACCGGUAGAAUGAUUACCUUUAAACUUUUGAAACAAUAUUUCAGCAACAAUUUCCUUGUCUACAACUUUACAAGGCUGUAAAUGGCCCCUGUGUGCAUAAUGAAUGCUGACAUCAUAGGCCAGGGCUCUUAUACACAGCAGGUUUUCCAGAACAUUUAUUAGCAAGUUACACCUUGAGGCGAAAGUAAACCCCCCAACUUUCUAUUAUAAAUGUUACAAUAAAAAGCUCCUUUGAGUUUUCCUAGCACUCCGUGUUCCUCCUUUCUUCCCGUUCCAAGUUAUUCUUUCUGUAGAGUAUGUGAAUUUGAUACAGACAGAUUACAUGGAAAAUGUGUUUUGCUGCAGACAUAUUGGAUAUUAGCUAUUGUUACAAGGUGUUUUUUAUGGCGAGGCUUGCAGGACCAGUGCAGCAAGGUGAUAGGGAACAAGAUUUCUUGCUUUCACGGCACUGUGCUGGUGACUGUUGGUAUUCCUGCAUGGCAUACGAGUGCUGAUUUUCUUCAUCCAAGUGCUGGACAUAAUGAAGCUCUGGUAUGUUACCACUGAGGGCUGAGAGGAGAAAGAGGUGGAGAUACAGACAAAUAUAGGGUUGCAAUGAAACAGUUCCUAUUCAUGUUUCUCUUUCCCUGAUGUUACUGCCA
ensembl:lncRNA